rnacentral:lncRNA from 1 species
GGCUACUUCCUUUCCCUGAACAAAACCAGUGCUCUUUUGAUGGUGGCUUGACGGUCCUGGAGAAUAAAACAUUGUGUUUAUGGAAAUCAACAACAAAGGCACUGCUACAAGCAAAUACCACUCUUAUUUCUGGAACAGAUUGAAGAAGAGCU